GCCUUAUAUUUUUUAUUUAAGGUAUUACCUGCUCAAUGCGAUUAGUAAAUAGCCGCAGUAUAUUGACUGUGCAAAGGUAGCAUAAUAAAUUGGCCUUUAAUUGGGGUCUGGAAUGAAUGGUUUGACAAGGAUUUAACUGUCUCUAUUUAAGAAUUUUUGAAAUUAAAUUGUUUGUAAAAAUGCACACAUAGAAGAGAGGGACGAGAAGACCCUAUAGAUCUUUAAAAAUGUUUUCAGUGAAGUAUAUUUAUUGAAGAUUUUUUUUAUUUGGGGAAAAUCCUGAAAAUUAAAUUUUGGUUAAUUAGAAAAUUUAAUAAUUGAUUAUUUGAUCCGUAAAAUUAUGAAAAAAUGAAAAAGUUACCUUAGGGAUAACAGGACAAUGAUUUUCUUAAAGGCCUUAUUUUUGAAAGCGUUUGUUACCUCGAUGUUGAAUUAAGUUAUCUAAUAAUAAGGAGAAAUAUAUAAAGUUGGUCUGUUCGACCAUUAAAAAC
rnacentral:rRNA from 1 species